rnacentral:rRNA from 1 species
UACAGAGGUCCCAAGCGUUGUUCGGAUUCACUGGGCGUAAAGGGUGCGUAGGCGGUCGGGGUAAGUCUGAUGUGAAAUCUCACAGCUUAACUGUGAAACUGCAUUGGAUACUAUUCGGCUUGAGAGUUGGAGGGGGGACUGGAAUUCUUGGUGUAGCAGUGAAAUGCGUAGAUAUCAAGAGGAACACCAGUGGCGAAGGCGAGUCUCUGGACAUUUUCCUACGCUGAGGCACGAAAGCCCAGGGGGAGCAAAACGGGG